GGGCCGUAGCUCAGUUGGGAGAGCGCCUGCUUUGCAAGCAGGAGGUCGUCGGUUCGAUCCCGAUCGGCUCC
rnacentral:tRNA from 1 species